rnacentral:rRNA from 1 species
UACUUGAUCCUUCGGGUGAUGGUGGCGGACGGGUGAGUAACGCGUAAAGAACUUGCCCUGCAGUCUGGGACAACAUUUGGAAACGAAUGCUAAUACCGGAUAUUAUGUGAGUUUCGCAUGAAAUUCAUAUGAAAGCUAUAUGCGCUGCAGGAGAGCUUUGCGUCCUAUUAGCUAGUUGGUGAGGUAACGGCUCACCAAGGCGAUGAUAGGUAGCCGGCCUGAGAGGGUGAACGGCCACAAGGGGACUGAGACACGGCCCUUACUCC